GAUGAACGCUGGCGGCGUGCCUAAUACAUGCCAGUCGAGCGAACGGACGAGAAGCUUGCUUCUCUGAUGUUAGCGGCGGACGGGUGAGUAACACGUGGAUAACCUACCUAUAAGACUGGGAUAACUUCGGGAAACCGGAGCUAAUACCGGAUAAUAUUUUGAACCGCAUGGUUCAAAAGUGAAAGACGGUCUUGCUGUCACUUAUAGAUGGAUCCGCGCUGCAUUAGCUAGUUGGUAAGGUAACGGCUUACCAAGGCAACGAUGCAUAGCCGACCUGAGAGGGUGAUCGGCCACACUGGAACUGAGACACGGUCCAGACUCCUACGGGAGGCAGCAGUAGGGAAUCUUCCGCAAUGGGCGAAAGCCUGACGGAGCAACGCCGCGUGAGUGAUGAAGGUCUUCAGAUCGUAAAACUCUGUUAUUAGGGAAGAACAUAUGUGUAAGUAACUGUGCACAUCUUGACGGUACCUAAUCAGAAAGCCACGGCUAACUACGUG
rnacentral:rRNA from 1 species